rnacentral:ribozyme from 1 species
GUAAUGAAAGCACGAAACAAGGGGAAAGGAACAAAGGACAAAGCAAACAAGAACGUGUUUCUUUCUGUUGUGUGUUGUUUUCUUUCUUUCACU